rnacentral:pre_miRNA from 1 species
ACAACAACAUUCGGGCCGUCGUUCUACCGAGCAAUAUCAGCCGCUCGGUGGAAGAUCUUCCCUUUGUCAUAAAUU